UUAGGCUGGAUGUCUGACAGAAGCAAUCCAGCUCAUCUUUUCCUCAGCUCCCGAAGCCAAAACCCUCAUUCCCGUCACCGCUGGGUUCUUCUCCCUCCUCUUUCACCCGCCUCCUCUAUUUUCCGCUACCAAAUCCUACCCGCCUCCUCUAUUUUCCGCUACCAAAUCCUACCCGCCUCCUCUUCCCGCUACCAAAACUGACUUGCCGCCUCCUCUUCCCGCUGAGUUCUUGUCGCCCUCCACUUUUACCCCGCCCACAAAACCCCACGAUCAUAUCUCUGUGAUCUGUUCGAAAACAAAGAGCAAGGAUGAUGAGGAAGUGCUCGCAUUGUGGUAACAAUGGCCACAACUUGCGAACUUGCCCCAAUCGAUGAUGACGAGGAAGUCUCUCUUUGUGUUGUCUACAAGUUUUUGUCUUUAGAGAGAGGAAAGAGAUGGAGCACGAAUUUCAGGUUUAUGUAUCCAUUUAUUAUGAUACUUGAUGCAAAUAUGGAUGGAUAUGAUACUUUAUAGCAACCUACAUUGCACGCUGUGGAGCUUGGUUGUUUCAGUUUAAGUUUGUCACUGAGCUUGGUUACUUUGUGAGCUUUUGAGCUUACUUUGGUAACUUGUGAGUUAGAUUGAGUAGGACUGUAGAUGCUACAGGUGAAUAAAUUCUAUACUUCAGGCGUUUUCAUGAACUGUAAGUUUGACGUUUAUGGACUCUAACAAAUUUUGAUAUUUUGGCAUUUAUUUCAAAUUUUUUUGAGAUCUUUUAGGAUUGAAAAUUCGUAAUGAUCCUUAUUAUAGUAACUUAGUUGCAGAAGCAUACUCCUUUUUAUCCGAGUUGAAGAUAUUACAUGUGACUCAGUUGAGUUUAAGUUUA